GAUGAAGAACGUAGCGAAAUGCGAUAAGUAAUGUGAAUUGCAGAAUUCAGUGAAUCAUCGAAUGUUUGAACGCACAUUGCGCCCGCCAGUAUUCUGGCGGGCAUGCCUGUUCGAGCGUCAUUUCAACCAUCAAGCCCCCGGCUUGUGUUGGGGACCUGCGGCUGCCGCAGGCCCUGAAAACCAGUGGCGGGCUCGCUAGUCACUCCGAGCGUAGUAAUACAUCUCGCUCAGGGCGUGCUGCGGGUUCCGGCCGUUAAAAAGCCUUAUUUACCCAAGGUUGACCUCGGAUCAGGUAGGAAGACCCGCUGAACUUAAGCAUAUCAAUAAGCGGAGGA
rnacentral:misc_RNA from 1 species